rnacentral:rRNA from 1 species
AUGCCGAAGGAUUGGCAAGGUUUCUCGGUCAAGUUUGGCGAGUCCCUUAAAGCUUGCUAUGAAGAUAGGUCGUACUAUGGCCCUCCGGAUUUCUUGUGCCGAUACUGUGGUGCCUCCUUUUGGUUUGCCGAGUCUUCAAAGUCCAGGUCAUCCUGGACACAACGCAAGAUGGUUUAUAAUUGCUGUUGUAAAGGUGCUAAGGUAUAUAUUCCUCCCUUUAAGGAUGCCCCAACCUAUCUCCGAGAGCUCCUUCGAUUCGAUGGUACUUCUCGUGCUAACAAAUUCAUCCGGACUAUACAUGAGUACAACUGUAUGUUCGCUUAUACUUUGAUGGGUGCUACUAUUGAACGCUCGUUUGGUGGUAGUCGUGGACCUAAGAUUUUAAAUAUCAGUGGUCAAGUG